rnacentral:rRNA from 1 species
GACGAACGCUGGCGGCGUGCCUAAUACAUGCAAGUCGAACGCUGAAGGAGGAGCUUGCCCUUCUGGAUGAGUUGCGCACGGGUGAGUAACGCGUAGGUAACCUGCCUGUUAGCGGGGGAUAACUCUUGGAAACGAUAGCUAAUACCGCAUAACAGUAGAUGUUGCAUGACAUUUACUUAAAAGGUGCAAUUGCAUCACUACCAGAUGGACCUGCGUUGUAUUAGCUAGUUGGUGGGGUAACGGCUCAACAAGGCGACGAUACAUAGCCGACCUGAGAGGGUGGUCCGCCAAACUGGGACUGGGACACGGCCCAGGAUCCUAAGGGAAGGAGCAAUAGGGAAUCUUCGGCAAUGGACGGAAGGCUGACCGAGCAACGCCGCGUGAGUGAAGAAGGGUUUCGGAUCGGAAAGCUCUGUUGUAAGGGAAGAACGAGAGUGGGAGUGGAAAGUUCACACUGUGACGGUAUCUGACCAGAAAGGGACGGCUAACUACGUG